ACACGUUGAUCCUGCGUGAGAAUGCUGCUAGUAGAGUUCGACUAAGCCAUGCAAGUGAUUGGAAUUUAGUUCCAACGCGAAUCGCUCAGUAACACGUCGUUAAUUUGCCCUUAUGCUCGGGAUAAUCUCGGAAAACUGAGAAUAAUACCGAAUAAACAAUACAAUCUGGAAUUGAAGUAUUGAACAAAGAUUUAUCGUAUAAGGAUAAGACGGCGGCCGAUUAGAUUGUUGGCGGGGUAACGGCCCACCAAGUCUACGAUCGGUAGGGGCCUUGAGAGAGGGAGCCCCGAGAGGGUCACUGAGAAAUUGGACCUAGCCCUACGGGGUGCAGCAGGCGCGAAACCUUAUCAAUGCACGACAGUGUGAAUAGGGAACUCUACGUGCUCAUACAUUAGUAUGGGCUUUUGUAUAGUGUAAAUAGCUAUACGAAUAAAGGGUGGGCAAGACCGGUGCCAGCAGCCGCGGUAACACCGGCGCCCUGAGUGGCAUUCAGUAUUAUUGGGCCUAAAGCGUCCGUAGCCGGAUUAGUAAAUUCUUUGUGAAAUCACUGGGCUUAACCCAGUGGCGUGCAAAAAACACUGCUAUAUCUAGGGACCGGGAGGAGUAAGGAGUAUUUUAUGGGGAGCGGUAAAAUGUGAUAAUCCAUGGGAGACUACCAGUGGCGAAGGCGCCUUACUAGAACGGAUCCGACGGUGAGGGACGAAGGCCAGGGGAGCAAAACGGAUUAGAUACCCGAGUAGUCCUGGCUGUAAACGCUGCAUGCAAGAUGUUGCGUAUUCUCGUGAAUGCGCAGUAUCGAAGAGAAGUCGUUAAGCAUGCCGCCUGGGAAGUACGGUCGCAAGACUGAAACUUAAAGGAAUUGGCGGGGGAGCACCACAAGGGGUGCGGCGCGCGGUCUAAUCUAACUCAACGCAGAAAAUCUCACCAGGGGCGACAGCAAGAUGAAGAUCAGUCUAAAGGGCUUGUCAGAUGAGCUGAGAGGUAGUGCAUGGCCGUCGUCAGCUCGUGCCGUAAGGUGUCCUGUUAAGUCAGGCAACGAGCGAGACCUGUAUCCACAAUUGCUAGCGGGCAUUUCGAUGCGACCGAGAACAUUGUGGGGACUGCCGGUGAAAACCGGAGGAAGGUGCAGGCUACGGUAGGUCUGUAUGCUCCGAAUCUCCUGGGCUACACGCGCGCAACAAUGGUAUGGACAAUGGGCUACUACUCCGAAAGGAGACGUUAAUCCUCGAAACCAUGCCCAAGUACAGAUUGGGGGUUGUAACUCACCCCCAUGACGCUGGAAUCCCUAGUAAUCAGAGUUCAUUAUACUCUGGUGAAUAUGUCCCUGCUCCUUGCACACACCGCCCGUCAAACCACUCGAGCAGAGCGUACAUGAGUCUUAGGCCUUUUACUUAAGCCGAAUGUACGUUCAGUGAGAUGGGUUAAGUCGACACAAGGUA
rnacentral:rRNA from 1 species